CCUACGGGUGGCAGCAGUGGGGAAUAUUGGGCAAUGGGCGCAAGCCUGACCCAGCAACGCCGCGUGAAGGAAGAAGGCUUUCGGGUUGUAAACUUCUUUUCUGAGGGACGAAGAAAGUGACGGUACCUCAGGAAUAAGCCACGGCUAACUACGUGCCAGCAGCCGCGGUAAUACGUAGGUGGCAAGCGUUAUCCGGAUUUAUUGGGUGUAAAGGGCGUGUAGGCGGGAAAGCAAGUCAGAUGUGAAAUCCCGCGGCUCAACCGCGGAACUGCAUUUGAAACUGUUUUUCUUGAGUACCGGAGAGGUCAUCGGAAUUCCGGGUGUAGCGGGGAAAUGCGUAGAUAUAAGGAAGAACACCAGUGGCGAAGGCGGAUGACUGGACGGCAACUGACGGUGAGGCGCGAAAGCGUGGGGAGCAAACAGGAUUAGAUACCCGAGUAGUC
rnacentral:rRNA from 1 species